UUUACUUUAAAACGCUUCUUGCAUUUCAGAUAUAGGCGAGUGUGCGGUCAAGGUCAAAAUUGCGAGAGGGUGAUUCGAAGUGAAAUACCGCAACAAAAACGUUCGAUUUGUACAUUAACGCGUCUAACUGAAUGAGUCACAAUGUUUCUACCACAAGAGUUGUAAAUAUUGAAAAACUGAGAUAAAAACUGCAAAAAAUGGCCACCAACAAUAAUGGGCCAGGACUGAGGAGUUCCAAGAAAUGAGAGUGUGGCAACAAGUAAAUGGACCUUGACAAAUGUCCUCUAUGUUAGAGCCAGUCCCUUACACAAGUGACCUACUUUUGCACAGCUGAGGUUGUUAUCAAACGCAGCAGUAGGUAUGAAAUGCGGAAACUGUUCCAACUUGAUCUUCAACAGUUGAGUUACUCCUCAUCACAAUACCUGAACUGAAAACAAUCGGUGACGAUCCUGCACUUCACUUCUACCUCACAGUGCUCUUCCCUAUAAACGCUAGAGGAAAGUUUGAAAAUGAAAAACUUGUCAUUGCAAGAAAGGACCAAUUGA